AGACCAUGAUACAUGCAAAGUCUCGUCAUGUCUUUAUAUAUUUCCCAUGCUUCAAAAAGGGAUUCUCCAUCAACCCGUCUAAAACAAGUGAUUUGGUUUCUUAAUAC